rnacentral:rRNA from 1 species
AUUGAACGCUGGCGGCAGGCCUAACACAUGCAAGUCGAGCGAGCGGCGGACGGGUGAGUAAUGUCUGGGAAACUGCCCGUUGGAGGGGGAUAACUAUUGGAAACGGUAGCUAAUACCGACAACCAUCAGAUGGGCCCAGAUGGGAUUAGCUAGUAGGUGGGGUAAUGGCGCGACUAGGCGACGAUGCCUAGCUGGGCUGAGAGGAUGACCAGCCACACUGGAACUGAGACACGGUCCAGACUCCUACGGGAGGCAGCAGUGGGGAAGAUUGCACAAUUGGCGCAAGCCUGAUGCAGCCAUGCCGCGUGUGUGAAGAAGGCCUUCGGGUUGUAAAGCACUUUCAGCGGGGAGGCGUUACCCGCAGAAGAAGCACCGGCUAACUCCGUGCCAGCCGCCGCGGUAAUUC